GACGAACGCUGGCGGCGUGCUUAACACAUGCAAGUCGAACGUGAUUUUUGUGGAAAUUCUUUCGGGAAUGGAAAUGAAAUGAAAGUGGCGAAAGGGUGAGUAACACGUGAGCAAACUACCUUAAACAGGGGGAUAGCCGUUGGAAACGACGAUUAAUACCGCAUGAGACCACAGAAUCGCAUGAUAUAGGGGUCAAAGAUUUAUCGGUGUAAGAAGGGCCCGCGUCUGAUUAGCUAGUUGGAAGGGUAAAGGCCUACCAAGGCGACGAUCAGUAGCCGGUCUCAGAGAAUGAACAACCACAGUGGAACGACGCCACAGUGCAACCUCCUACAGGAGGCAGCAGUGGAGAAUAUUCCACAAUGUGGGGAACCCUGAUGCCACGACGCCGCGUGAGCGAAGAAGGUUUUCGAAUCAUAAACCUCUGUCCUAUGACAAGAUAAUAACGGUAUCAUAGCAGGAAGCCCCGGCUAAAUACGUG
rnacentral:rRNA from 1 species